rnacentral:rRNA from 1 species
AGAGUUUGAUCCUGGCUCAGAUUGAACGCUGGCGGCAGGCCUAACACAUGCAAGUCGAGCGGUAGAGAGAAGCUUGCUUCUCUUGAGAGCGGCGGACGGGUGAGUAAUGCCUAGGAAUCUGCCUAGUGGUGGGGGAUAACGUUCGGAAACGGACGCUAAUACCGCAUACGUCCUACGGGAGAAAGCGGGGGAUCUUCGGACCUCGCGCCAUUAGAUGAGCCUAGGUCGGAUUAGCUAGUUGGUGAGGUAAUGGCUCACCAAGGCGACGAUCCGUAACUGGUCUGAGAGGAUGAUCAGUCACACUGGAACUGAGACACGGUCCAGACUCCUACGGGAGGCAGCAGUGGGGAAUAUUGGACAAUGGGCGAAAGCCUGAUCCAGCCAUGCCGCGUGUGUGAAGAAGGUCUUCGGAUUGUAAAGCACUUUAAGUUGGGAGGAAGGGUAGUAACCUAAUACGUUGCURCUUUGACGUUACCGACAGAAUAAGCACCGGCUAACUUCGUGCCAGCAGCCGCGGUAAUACGAAGGGUGCAAGCGUUAAUCGGAAUUACUGGGCGUAAAGCGCGCGUAGGUGGUUCAGCAAGUUGGAUGUGAAAGCCCUGGGCUCAACCUGGGAACUGCAUCCAAAACUACUGAGCUAGAGUACGGUAGAGGGUAGUGGAAUUUCCUGUGUAGCGGUGAAAUGCGUAGAUAUAGGAAGGAACACCAGUGGCGAAGGCGACUACCUGGACUGAUACUGACACUGAGGUGCGAAAGCGUGGGGAGCAAACAGGAUUAGAUACCCUGGUAGUCC